rnacentral:rRNA from 1 species
AUUGAACGCUGGCGGCAGGCUUAACACAUGCAAGUCGAGCGACCGGCGCACGGGUGCGUAACGCGUAUCAAUCUACCUUGUAAAGGGAUAGCCCAAGAAAUUUGGAUUAAUACCUAUAUACAAGAUGGCAUGCGUCCCAUUAGUUAGUUGGUGUGGUAACGGCACACCAAGACGAUGAUGGGUAGGGGUCCUGAGAGGGAGAUCCCCCACACUGGUACUGAGACACGGACCAGACUCCUACGGGAGGCAGCAGUGAGGAAUAUUGGUCAAUGGAGGCAACUCUGAACCAGCCAUGCCGCGUGUGUGAAGAAGGCUUCGGGUUGUAAAGCACUUUCAGCAGGAGACGUUACUGCAGAAGAAGCACCGGCUAACUCCGUGCCAGCAGCCGCGGUAAUUC